rnacentral:misc_RNA from 1 species
UGCUGUCCUGUUCUCUUAUCUUUGAUCAAAGCAACCUCUAUCACUUUUCCAUGUUGCUCAAACAACGGGCGAAUAUCUUCUUCUGUAACAGUCCUUGGAACAGAUCCCACAAAGAGUUUGGCAAAGCUACCACCAUCAAAACGAUCAGGAGAACUUCCGCGGCCAGCAAAUGGAUACCCUCGUUUAUGCCCUGAUAGAGGCUGAGUAGGAGGCGGCAGGGCCUGGUAAUUAGACCCAAAUACUGCACCUCCGCCACCCAAUGGCGGAAAUACUCCACUACCAGGGGUGCCGCCUCCCAAAGAUCCAAAUUCUCCUACACCUACAGCUCCAGCAGCAGGAGGAGGAUGACGAGGAGGACUGUCGAAUGGGCGGUGACCACCACCACCACCAUUAUGAAAGUUGUUGGGACUCCGACGGUCAUAAUUGCUGGAGGUAUUGCUACCAUUGGUGGAAUAGCGAUUGACGGGAGCAUCAGAAAACCGGGAGGGUCCGUCUGAGAAGCGAGAAGAUCGACGAUUAUGAUAGGACUCUUGGUUGUAGGGAGUGUUGGUAGUGUUGUUGCUGAAGCUACCGUAGCGGUCUCCCCUAUGCCUAUCCAUGGAAGUACGGAGAANUACGGAGAAAAGUAGAACCCUAAUUUAAAGAAAUUGUGGGCUCUAGAAUAUGGGAAGAGAAGGAAGGUUAGACUCAAAGAGAGCUGCUGAGGAGAGGACAGGAGAAGCAGAG